rnacentral:lncRNA from 1 species
CAACACCUCUAAGUUCAAUGUUGUAGAAGCCCUGCAGGAGAAGAUGGUGCCCCGUCUGACAGAACCAAAACAUAUACCUGGACCAGGACUUGGAGAAGCUGAGGGAGGACCCAGGGCAAGGUGGAGCAACUACAGGCCCAGCUGCUGCCCACUCCAAUGAGAUAAGCCAGCAGAGGAGCAAAAACAUGUGCAAGAAGUUUGGGAGUGGUUUAGCUAGGCAGUUGUCACUCAAGAUCUCUCAUAAGUUACAUUGAGAUGCAAUUGCCAACUGCCCUGAACUGGUCCAAACCCCACUGGAAAAGUGAUGCCUGCGCAGAUAGGCCAAGAAGUGCUCAAGAGUUCAUUUUAAGGUUGAGACCUCUGCCCCAGGAAGAGCUUAGGCCUUGUUACCAUAACAUGCGAUGUAUGUGAAAGCAUAUUUCCCAACUGCACCUGUGCAGAUUUAUA